CGUGACUUUCUUGUAUAGCUUUUUUCCCUCUAGAGUUUUGAAUUACUGUUUUUUCUUCUGAUUGACAAAAGAAUAAGAUACCUUCAUUAUAUUCUCAAAAUACCUGGCUUCUCUGUCACACUCGGUUAUAAGAAUCCACAUUCUUCUUGAAGACAGUCCUUUUGGAGCCUUUUGUCUUUCUGAUCCACUUGGGGUUUGUUACUAGGUCUGCUGCAUAGUCAUCCUGGAUCUUCCCUUCACUGUGUUCCUGGCUUAGAGCUUCUGUUUCUUAGAUCCAAUUUUUUCUUUGUUUCUCACUUUAUUUUGCUGAAUAACAUCCUCAGUGUCUUCAGAACAUUGCUUAAUAACAAAUUUUAGGGUUCUUAUGUGUCUGAAAAUGUUUUUGUUUGACUCUUAUAGUUGAUGGACCUAUAGAUAUAGAAUUUUAAAUUCAAAACAUUUUUCCUUUAGAACUUUGAAGACAUGGCACAUUGGCUUCUAGUAUUUUGUGUUGUUACUGAGAAGCCUGAUGCCUGCUUAUUUCUUGCCUUUCUGGAAGCUUUUAAAAUAUUUUCCAUAUACAACUCAUGCUCAAAAAUCUCAAGAAUGUGUCUAGAUAUGGAUCUUAUAUUAAUUCAUCUGAUUGGUGCUCGGUAUAGCCUUUCAAUAUGAAGACUUGUAUUUUUCUUCAGUUUUUGAAGUUUUCUUAUAUUAUUUAUUUGAUUAUUUGCUCCCCUGUAAUUUCUCAUUCUGGAACUUCUAUUAGUCUGAAUAUUGAAUCUCUUAGAUUUGUUCUCCAUUUCUUAUAUCUUUUGUUCUCCUAUAUUUUUUUCUCUUUAUUUUUUCUAUAUGUUCUGGGAAAUAUCCUUGUCUUUGUUUUCCAGUCCUUUUUUUGAAAAAUGUUUUCAGCAGUCAUAUUUAUUUUCAAAGAACUCUGAUUGUUCCUUUAAUGCUCUCUGUUCCCAUGGCAUCCUGCUCGUGUUUUAUGGAUACAUUUUCUUCAAAUUCUGUAAAGAUAUUAGUUAGAAUUUUUUUUUUACAUUGUCUUCUUUUUCCUGAAUAUUAUUUGGGACUGAUAAUCUCUAGCAUAAUCUCUAGAAUUAGUUUUGUUUAUUUUUCUUAUUGUUGUUUUUUUCUUCACUGCUCCCAGUUUUCCUCAUAUGUUUGGAAAUUCUUCAAGCGAAUUUCAAAGACCCCACAGAGCUUCCUACCCGUUCUACCAUGAGAGAACACAGCAAGAAGUUGGCAGUCUGCAACCCAGAAGAAGCCUUCAGCAGAACCCAACCUUGCUGGCAUCUUGAUCUUGGAUUUCCAGCCUCCAGAACUGUGAGAAAUAAAUUUGUUCUUUAUAAGCCACCCAGUCUCUGGCAUUUUGUUAUAGCAGUCUGAUUGGACUGAGAGAGAUAAGCUAAGGAAAGAAUUGUUCAAUAUAAAGGAGCCAGAACUUAAUGAGUUCAAAAAUAAACACUCUUUUCCACUUUCUCCAGAUGGCAGACAAUUCUCAAAUUGAGAAAAGUCUUAUGGAAAGAGAUCAAAUCUAGGGUAUUGUCAGAAAACAUAGAUUAACUAUGAAGCCAAGAGAGUGAUUAUAAAACUCUUUGUUAAAGUCUCAGGAAAUUUAAUAUUAUGCUUCACAAAGACUAUAGUCCCUGUAAGAGUCUUGAGGGCAUGCCAUGCCUCAAGAUCUUCUUUAUUAAACAAAAGGUCCUCUAAGAAUUUUAAGAGCACUGUCCCUCAAGACCCGUAUAGGAAGCUCAAGGACUUAUCUUGAAAUUUGUGGGUGUGACUUUUGUCUAAUGGAGUGGAUUAUAAAUUGAUUCACAAGAAAUCCAUACAGUUUAAAAAAAUAGACUUUAUUUUUUAGAGCAGUUUUAGGUUCACAACAAUAUUGAGCUGAAAGCGUAGUGAGUUCCCAUAUACUCUGUGCCCCUCUAGUACACCAGAAUGGAACAUUUGUUAAAAUUGAUGAACCUGCAUCCAUACAUCGUUAUCACUCCUAGUCCAUAGUUUACAUUAGGGUUCACUCUUGGUGUAUAUUCUGCGGGUGUGGACAAAUGUGUAAUGACAUGUAUCCACCAUUAUAGUAUCAUACAGAACAGUCUCACUGCCCUAAAAAUCUUCUAUAAUCUGCCUCUUCAUCCAUCCUUUGCCCCAGCCCCUGGCCACCACUAAUCUUUUUACACUCUCUAUAGUUUCACCUUUUUCAGAAUGUAAUGCAGUUGGAGUCAUACAAUAUGUAGCCUUUUUAGAUUGGCUUCUUUGACUUAGUAAUAUACAUUUAAUCUUCCUCCAGGUCUUUUCAUGGGUUGAUAGCUCAGUGCUUUCUAGUGCUGUUCCGUUGUCUGGAUGGUUUAUUUAUCCAUUCACCUACCCAGGGACAUCUCGGUCGUUCCCAAGGUUUGCCAAUUAUGAAUAAAGCUGCCAUAAAUAUAUGUGUGCAGGUUUUUUUGCAGACGUAAGUUUUCAACUCCUUUGGCUUAAUACCAGGGAGUGUGAUGGUUGGGUUGUAUUGUAUGAGUAUGUUUAGUUUUGUAAGCCACUGGCAAAUUGCCUUCCAAAGUAGCUGCACCAUUUUGCAUUCCACCAGCAAUGAAUGAGAGCUCCUGUUACUCCACAUCUUCACCAGCAUUUGGUGUGCUCUUCAGAUCAAGAGGAACUGUACUCAAGGGGUUGUAUUUAAGGAACUUACCCAAGAAGUUCAUCCGUACCUGGACCUCAAGCCUCAGCCUGAUAUUAGGUAGAAGACAGAAGAGGUUCCAGGGAAGGAAACUGAGAAGAACUGGUGAAGAGACGUGUGAAGAGGAUGGAGUGCAGAAGAGUGGGAGAAGCGUGUGUCAGUCAAGAGCGAUAAUCACUGUUGUCUAAGGCUUCAGAAGUUGAGUAGGAGUAACUGAAUUUGGCAACUUGGAGGUUACUGGUAAUUUUUGGAAAAGUGGUACCAAGAGCUGAGUCUGGGAAAACUCAGAUCUUAAGGAAUUGUGCCGUAAAAGGGGGAAGAGAGGGGCCGGACCAGUGGCGCAGGCGGUUAAGUGUGCGUGCUCCGCUGCAGCGGCCCGGGGUUCACCGGUUCGGAUCCCCAGCUGCGCACUGACGCACCGUUUGUUAAGCCAUGCUGUGGCGGUGUCCCAUAUAGAGUAGAGGAAGAUGGGCAUGAAUGUUAGCCCAGGGCCAGUCUUCCUCAGCGAAAAAGAGGCGGAUUGGCAUUGGAUGUUAGCUCAGGGCUGGUCUUCCUCACAAAAAAAAAAAAAAAGGCAGGGAAGAGAAUUGUUGCAGCAAGUGAAGUCUUUUAUGAAGGUUGACAGUGAAGGGAAGAAGAAACUAGGAUAUGUCACUGGGCUCUUCAGAGACAGGACUCACAGAGGGCUCUUUUUCCCCCAAGACAGAAGAGAUGGUGUUUUGAUAUGUGGGGAGGAACUGCUGGAGGGAAAGAGGAGGAAGACUGAAGAAAGUUUUUGAAUUAACGUCUCAGAACUGAACUGGGAAGGGAUGAGAUCAACUUUAGAAAGGAAGACAGGAAAGAGGAAUGGAUGGAAAAUAGAAAAUUUCAGGCAAAUGGAGAAAACAUAAAGGAAUUCACAUCUGAUUUUGCUUAGUAAAAUAAGUGUCCGUGUUAUCUGCUCAGAAUGCAUGUGUACAGAGCCCUGUGAGAAUUGCAUUGUGAAGUGGCUGUGCCGUGCUGUAAGGCUUGGCCUCCUAACCCUCCUCCCCAGCACCCCGGCCCACUUCUUUUGCACAUUCUUUCACCUUUUCUUGAUGGAAGGUGAGUGGCCAUGCUCCUUGGAAUUGCCUUCCCGAGAGAGUUCUGAAGGAGAGAGCUCUCGAGUCUUCUUGUUCAAACUCAGGAGACUGGGUCGAGGGCCAGGUGUCUUUUCCCUGUAGGGAAAUUAGGUUCCAAAGAGAGGCCCGGGUGCCCUGGAGUUCUCCAGAAUUGGUACGAGGAUCUCAGUAGAUCUCGGACUUAACUGUGUGAUCUUGGGUUAUGUAACUAAUAAUGGAUAAUUCAGAUAAUGCAAGUUUCAGAUUCCUUUGUACCUCAGCAGUGCUGACUCGUUAUCAAAUAAAUAAAAUCUGUUUACUCUAAAUGUUUCCUCUUAGUUGGUCCUCUUAAGAGCUGAUGACAGAGUCCAUCAAUAUCUUGUUUUGGAUUAUCCUAUGAUGUUUAAGAAUUUAUGGAUUAUAUGCUGAUGGGAAAAUUACCUGCUAAGGAUGCCGUAGAGCCCAAGAGGGAGUGGUCAAUUUCUGCGUCAGAAGAAUUGGAACCUGCUAUCAAGAAAGGUUGUACUGGUGAAAUGGCGACUGAAUCCUGAAAGACACUCAAAUGAUGGAGGAGAUGAUGGGAUUUCAGAGUUAACCUGCUCACCACUGACAUUCUGGUUGGGGUAUGAAGCGACCCAGUGCCAUAGAGAAGAGAAGACAGAGCAUGCGCAGAAAAGAAGAAAAGGACCAACACGAUUUUCAAAACACUCACUGCUAGAAAAGUAGUUCAGCAGAAGGAGUGGUUGCUUUUAGGAUCCCUGUGCCCACCACACUCCUCUUAUUUUUACAUGGGCACCCCACAUCUUUCUAGAUUUCAGGAUGGCUGUCCUGUGACUUUAGUUCUCUGAUGGGCUCACAAAAAGUCAUUAAUUUGCUAUCUGUUCAGAUUUCUUCUUGUUGCAAAUAUGAGCGCUACAGUUUGGAGCUGAAACCACAAGUAUUAAAAGGAUCCCAGUUGAAUAAAGAAAGAACACGCUGUAAGAAAUAGUUCAAUAGCAGAAGAUACUAUAAUAGUAUAUGAAAGGAGAAAUAUUCUCAGACUGAUGAAAGGAAGAAAAGAAAAGGAAAGCCUGUGAGGAUUUUAGAGCAUCCUCGCCACGGCAGCAUGUCUGACCCAGGCAGACACUUCUAAGAGCUCCAUGGAA